rnacentral:rRNA from 1 species
CAGUCGCCGCGGUAAUACGUAGGGUGCAAGCGUUAAUCGGAAUUACUGGGCGUAAAGCGUGCGCAGGCGGUUAUGUAAGACAGUUGUGAAAUCCCCGGGCUCAACCUGGGAACUGCAUCUGUGACUGCAUAGCUAGAGUACGGUAGAGGGGGAUGGAAUUCCGCGUGUAGCAGUGAAAUGCGUAGAUAUGCGGAGGAACACCGAUGGCGAAGGCAAUCCCCUGGACCUGUACUGACGCUCAUGCACGAAAGCGUGGGGAGCAAACAGGAUUAGAUACCCCCGUAGUCCCUGUCUCUUAUAC